CUGAAGUGCUGUUUCUCUUGCUUCGGCAAGAGGAAACGAAAGCGGGCAGAUCAUUCCACCCCGGAAUCUGUCAUGGAGGAGAUCCCAGAGCCGCAAAUGGAGCCGGCGAUAGAGAACUGCCGGGAGACUCCAGGAAUCCCUGACACGGAGAUCUGU